GCUCAGGCUGCCCCAAUAUCCCGUCCCACCCCUACCAGGGUCCCCGUCCCUGGGGUCAGGGACGAAGCUGCCCUAUCCCUCUGGGGACAGCGUGGAGGAGAGUGACCCCCGUGCAGCUCCAGACCCUCGAGGCCUGCCCGAGCACAGCCUCCAGGAUGGCUACGACGAUGCCAUGGCCGUGCCUGCAGAGUCCCCUGCUCCCAGCACUGGGGACAUCAUCUCCGGGGAGGUGGCACGGAGGAGCUGGAGCUGUGGCCCAGCCACAGGUGGGAGCUGCUCCCCCCCAAAUCCCGCAGGAGCCACAAGGGACCCACGGGAACAGCCCCCGGGGGACACAGACUAUGACGAUGUUGGCAUCAGCACCCUGGGGACGUCGCUGUGAGGAUGGCAGGGCUGGGCCCCGGGAGCCCCUGGGGACACGCAGGGUGCUGGGGUGGCCCUGGCCACAGAGGAGGUCACCUUUCCUUCUGAAUUUCUCUUUGCUAUUAAAAUCUGAAAGCACGAAGUUUGGGACCUGGA